rnacentral:rRNA from 1 species
AGUUUGAUCAUGGCUCAGGACGAACGCUGGCGGCGUGCUUAACACAUGCAAGUCGAACGGAAAGGCCCUGCUUGCAGGGUACUCGAGUGGCGAACGGGUGAGUAACACGUGGGUGAUCUGCCCUGCACUUCGGGAUAAGCCUGGGAAACUGGGUCUAAUACCGGAUAGGAGCCAUUUUUAGUGUGAUGGUUGGAAAGUUUUUUCGGUGUAGGAUGAGCUCGCGGCCUAUCAGCUUGUUGGUGGGGUAAUGGCCUACCAAGGCGGCGACGGGUAGCCGGCCUGAGAGGGUGGACGGCCACAUUGGGACUGAGAUACGGCCCAGACUCCUACGGGAGGCAGCAGUGGGGAAUAUUGCACAAUGGGCGCAAGCCUGAUGCAGCGACGCCGCGUGGGGGAUGACGGCCUUCGGGUUGUAAACUCCUUUCGCUAGGGACGAAGCUUUUUGUGACGGUACCUAGAUAAGAAGCACCGGCUAACUACGUGCCAGCAGCCGCGGUAAUACGUAGGGUGCGAGCGUUGUCCGGAAUUACUGGGCGUAAAGGGCUCGUAGGUGGUUUGUCGCGUCGUCUGUGAAAUUCCGGGGCUUAACUCCGGGCGUGCAGGCGAUACGGGCAUAACUUGAGUACUGUAGGGGUAACUGGAAUUCCUGGUGUAGCGGUGAAAUGCGCAGAUAUCAGGAGGAACACCGAUGGCGAAGGC